AAAAUCAGAUUGAAUCAAGUUAUUUAGAAACCUGACAUAGGAUGUAAACACGUGUGUCAAAAUGUAUCAUCAUUUACUGAACCUUCAGCCACAAACAGAAAAACAGAGGUUCACCCAAUAACAAUGGAAGUGAUUUUCCUGAAGUUUACGAGAGCCCAGUUCACAAGAGGCAACAAGACCCUGCUUUUUUCAUCAGGUUAAAAUUAAACUAGAAGCCUUCUCAAACAUAUGCUGUUGCUUCACUAUUAGCAGCAACAUAUAAUCAUUCACUGAGCAACAGAGAAAAAAGUUGUGGAACACCGAAACAACUUAACUAGAGAUUUCAUCUUAAAUAACAAGUUAAGAAGUAUAAAUCAAUCUCAAUCAUGACAAUAAGAAAUCAAAUAGUAACUCUAAAUAUGCGAAUCAAUUAAAUAGCAACAGGACGGCAGAUAUAAACAGUUCAUUUGUCAAAAUGUAUCAUCAUUUACUGAACCUUCAGCCACAAACAGAAAAACAGAGGUUCACCCAAUAACAAUGGAAGUGAUUUUCCUGAAGUUUACGAGAGCCCAGUUCACAAGAGACAACAAGACCCUGCUUUUUUCAUCAGGUUAAAAUUAAACUAGAAGCCUUCUCAAACAUAUGCUGUUGCUUUACUAUUAGCAGCAACGUAUAGUCAUUCACCGAGCAACAGAGAAAAAAGUUGUGGACACCAAAACAACUUAACUAGAGAUUUCAUCUUAAAUAACAAGUUAAGUAUAAAUCAAUCUCAAUCAUGACAAUAAGAAAUCAAAUAGUAACUCUAAAUAUGCGAAUCAAUUAAAUAGCAAAAGAACGUCAGAUAUAAACAGUUCAUUUGUCAAAAUGUAUCAUCAUUUACUGAACCUUCAGCCACAAACAGAAAAACAGAGGUUCACCCAAUAACAAUGAAGGUGAUUUCCCUGAAGUUUACGAGAGACCUGUUCACAUGGGCAACAGGCCCCUGCUUUUUUCAUCAGGUUUAAGAACCAAAUCUUUAAAAAAAAUCACAAAACAAUUAUUACUUUUAAGAAUCCUACAAAAGCAAAACAAAACUAAAAUUACGCAUUCAUUCACCUAGUAUAACUUCAGUUUAAAAUAAAACCAACUAAAAAAGAAGAGAUCUGAUAAUCCUACCUUGAAGUGCACUCUGAGGUCAGAGCCUCUGGCCUUGCAGGCUGUAAAAUUGGCACAAACACCAUACUAGAUCAACAAUAAGAAAAAUUAGAUUUAAAAAUAGAAGCAGCAGGCAUCUCAGGUCCUAUACUUACACUUGGUGGAAUUUUCAG
rnacentral:lncRNA from 1 species